ensembl:lncRNA
UAGAAGCACGGUGGCUAGGAAAAACUCCCUAGAAAGGCCAAAACCUAGGAAGAAACCUAGAGAGGAACCAGGCUAUGUGGGGUGGCCAGUCCUCUUCUGGCUGUGCCGGGUGGAGAUUAUAACAGAACAUGGCCAAGAUGUUCAAAUGUUCAUAAAUGACCAGCAUGGUCGUAUAAUAAUAAGGCAGAACAGUUGAAACUGGAGCAGCAGCACGGUCAGGUGGACUGGGGACAGCAAGGAGUCAUCAUGUCAGGUAGUCCUGGGGCAUGGUCCUAGGGCUCAGGUCCUCCGAGAGAGAGAGAGAAAGAGAGAAAGAGAGAAUUAGAGAACGCACACCUAGAUUCACACAGGACACCGAAUAGGACAGGAGAGGUACUCCAGAUAUAACAAACUGACCCUAGCCCCCCGACACAUAAACUACUGCAGCAUAAAUACUGGAGGCUGAGACAGGAGGGGUCAGGAGACACUGUGGC